CUUAAUUCAGGUUGGGCUCAGGUUAGUAAUCAACCCAACCAACCCAUCCAAGUUGCAACCCUAGUCUCAACUACCCAAAAAUAAGGGGUCGUGUUGGAAAUCUUGGCAUAGAAAAUAGUCAUUUUCCAUUGGAAUCAGAAAUUUUGAUUCAAAUACUGAUUUCAUUAACAGUUAUGAUUUUGCAUAACCACUAGUAGAAGGCAAUAUGUCGAAAUAAAAAAAAUUUAAUCUUAGUGACAUAGGAUUUGGAAUUUUCGAUUUGGCAUAACUGAUUUAUGUAUUGAUAUCAGUUUUCAACUCAAAACCUUUCUGCCCUACAACUAUAUUAAGUCAAAUAAAUUUGCAUUAAAACUUGAAAAUUAGGUUUAAGACUAAUAUUUGAUAGUAUAGAGGUCGAGAACACCUAGAGGGGGUGAAUAGGUGCUUAAACUUUUUUAGUCCAAAAUUAAAUAUCUUUAAUUAUUUAACAAUCUCCUUUUAAUAUAGGGAAGUGCAAAGAGAAAUUAACACCAAACACAUGGGAAUUUUUUUAUGUAGAAACCUACUCACUCACACAAUCUCUCAAGAGACUUUGUGGAUGGUAAAACCAUGGGGUCACAUACCAUAAAUCCACUAUAUGAAAGACUAACAUACAAAUUUACUUGGUGGAUGUUAUCCUUAAGUCUUACUCACAACACCUAUACCAAACGUUACAUCCGUGACAAAGCCUCACACAUGUUCCUAGUGGAUCUUAUCUCAACGCUUGAAUGAAUGUAAAUCUCCUACAUAAUCUAAUGAAUGCAAAGAUAAAUGUUUUUUAGAGUUUCGGGAAUGUGAAGGCAAGCUAGGUUUUUUCCAAUGCAUGUUUGUACCCAAGAGAAAAAUCUCUUUUUAAAAUGCAAAAAAUACAGUGGACAAGAUCUAGAAUUUUCCUAAAAUAAAACCUUUUAAAAUUAGAAAAUCAAUAUUCCAAAAUUCUACAGAAUUCUACCAUUAGCACGUAAGUGCCCUUAGAAUGCUUGAGUGCUCUCUAGUGCAUGAGCACUCAAAAAGUUCUUUUAAACCUAUUUUAAAAUAUUUUAGUUUCAUUUAAAAACCACCAUCCACACCAUGUCUUAACUAACUCCAACUUGUCUUUCCUAGAUCUUUCUAUGCUUGCCUAUGUUAUCCUGAUUGAUUAUGUAGUAAUCUUGAGUCUUCAAUGCAGAGUAAGACAUAAUUUAGAAAGGUCAUAUGCCAGAUUGUCUAGAGUAAAACCACCAACUUUAAAAUACAUAGCCUAAUGUAUCAACAAUGUCCCCCUUAUGCAAUUUUGUGAAAAAAUAAAGAUCAUAUAAACCUCUUAAUACUCUCAAAUGGAGUUUAUGAAUCUCUUAAUAACACUCAUCUAGACCAAAUCAUUCUCAAACAAGCAUAUGACGUUCAAAACUCAUCCAAGCAUGAACAAUCUAAAGAUACCUAUGACUUGCACACACCAACCGACCAAAUACCAAGGUAAACCAAUGUUUGAGAAAAAUAAUAAAACUAUAACCAAUAUCAAAUCAUAGUAAAAGUAAAUGGAUGUAGUCAUGCACACAAUCAAUAUCUAUCAUUCACUUAUCAAUAAUCAACCAAUCUCCCUUUUUUGUCAUAAAAAUGAAAAAGAGAAAUAAGAUAAAUUUAGUAUACGUAAGUAAGAGAGAGAGAGAGAGAGAGAGAGAGAGAGAGAAGGUAAGCAAAGUGAUAUUCAUUUAUAUACAAAGGGUCUAGAUAUAAGACAAAGAAUUGUGAAUAAGUACAAACUAAAACAAGAACACAAAAUAAAUUGAGGCAAACUAGCUACAAUUAAAAUAUAAAAUAUAAAAAAUAAAAAAUAAAAACUUCAUCUAAAACCAUGUAAGGGCUACUAUAGCUCAAGAUCAUGUGAAGGUGAUGUUGCAAAACUGGAACCGCCCUGAGAUCACAACAAAGAAGUGAGGAGGUGAACUAUGCUAGGAACCUCGGAUUACUUCGUUUCCUGGCCCUAACUCUCACAGGAUGCAUGCUUCUAUCCUAAGGUUCUCUAAAUCUACAAUAGUAGCAAACUAUGGCUAUCAAAACCAAAAUAGAUAUUAGAUCUAGAGGUUAGAGCUCUUACCUACAAUAUGGAUGUUCCCAAAUCGUUUUCAAGUCGAUGAAGAAGUCAAAAAAACAUCAUAGAACUCAUCUACCCAAUGUUCUUCCACCCAAUAUUUCCUCACAUUGGUUUAAGCAUGAGAUAAGUUUGUGUUUUUAUCUUCUUCCUUAAGAGUGGUUAGGGUUUCUCUCUAGUGGCUCUCUAGAAGACAAAAAAAGGGCAAAAAUCUAAACCCAAAACCCCUAUAGGGGUUUAUAUAAGGCUCCUUAUGGACUUAAGUGACUUAAGCCUAAAUUGGGUUAGGGUUAUCUAAUCUAGCUCACUUGGGUCCUAAUUAAUUAAUUAGUCAUAUUGGGUUCCAAUUAAUUAAUUAGCUUAAUCUAGAAAGUUCAAUUCAUAAAAUUUAAUAUAACCUUGCAUUUUUAUCAAAACAUUCUUAUGUACACUUAUAAACCAGAAACCUAAAUCCCUUAAAUAAAAUGUGCCUUCAUGACUUAUGAACUCAAGCGGGGACUACUAGGAUCCAUAGGAAAACACUAGCUCCCUCAAAAUUCAAUUCUAAAGUUGGCUCAACACUUCACUAAAGAGACUCAACUACACUCCAAUAUCUUAUGAAUUUACAACGAGCUAAAGCUCGAGUUUGUAACCUACCAUUCAUUGUAUGUAGACUUGCCAUGAACUAGUGAUCAUAAUCUAAUACGAUAGUAGUAUCAACAAUCAAGAUUACAUUUUCAAUUUUGAGUUACAAAUCCCCUUAUUAUGUGAUCAACAGACAUACUCUAACUCAUUAAAUAGUAUAUGUAAAAUUCUACUUAGGGAAUUACUACAGCCAUAGAUUUCAUGAUCACAUGUCUUUUGAAUCACCCAAGGGGACACUUUGUCUCAAUCUCAUAAGAUAUCAUGGUGUCUCUAUAGAGAAUACCUAUUGUCACUAGCUUUAAUCAACAAUGACCUAAUUUGUAAGAAUAUAUGAGCGCAUUAGGGUUUCACCCAUAUGUCAAAGUCUCCUAUUGAUUCCAGCACAUGCUCAAUAUCAUUGUAAGGUUGGGAGUUCAUGCAAUAUACUAACUUGGUGAAUCAUGACAACUCAGUAGGUCCUAUCCAAUGUGUAACCAUACACACUAGUGUACUUAUCAUGGAAAACUCAUCCCAGCAACUAUGACAAGUCAUCUCUCCAAUAAGAAGGUAGUGCACUACAACCUUUAUUGUGUUACCCAAAUUCAUAAACUGACAAUGGACUACUUAUCAUCUUACUAGGAACCCAUAACUUGUAUUUUCUCAUGGAAAACUCAUCCCAGCAACUAUGACAAGUCAUCCCUCCAAUAAGAAGGUAGUGCACUACAAUCUUUAUUAUGUUACCCAAAUUCAUAAACUGACAAUGGACUACUUAUCAUCUUACUAGGAACCCAUAACUUGUAUUUUCUCUACAACUCCUAAUGUAUCCAAAUCAUGUACAAUGCAAGUGAUUUGGGAUCAAAUACUUAAAUCAAUAUCAAUGCAAAUGAUGGAUAGAAAAGUAGAAGUUCAUGCCUAACUUUGUUACAUCAUGUCUUGCUUUUAAAGGCUUUAUCCUAAAAAACCCUCACUAGCCAUAAAAGUAAACUAAGCACCAUAGAAAAAAUAUGUUCCUUUGUCAUAUCACCUCUUUGAACUAUCUUGCAAAAAAGGUAACACUUCCUCUCUAUGUGUUUUCUCUUCUAAUGGUACCUUGGUUCUUUAGAUUAUGUCAAUGCCUCAUUGUUAUCACAAAACAAGAUCAUGGACGGUACAACCAAGAGAACUACCCAUAGUUCCAAAAGGAACAUUGUAAGUCAAAAGACUUUCUUUGUUGUUUUAGAAGCAACAACAAAUAUCAUUUAGAGGCAAACCUAUGAGUGUCCUCAUCAAACUAAAAGUCUAAUUUCUUAACACUUAAGGAAUACUAAUUCAUUGCAAUGACUCACAAGCAUGUAUUCUCUUGCUCUCAUAUGAUACUUAAGUAUAUGUUUAAUAUCCAUUAAAGACCCUAAUCAUGGAUUGAGCUAAUAUCUACUCAUUAGCCCCAUUUCAAAGCAAAUAUCCGAUCUAAGACAUAGCAUCACAUAUAUAAGGCUACCCUUUGUAGAGGCAUAGGAUACGACCUUAAUGCGACUUUUCUUGUCAAAUGUCCAAGGAAACUAAACUUAAGAAAUAAAAAUCCAAACUUAAGGGUAGCAAACCCUUCUUAAAGUCUUGCAUCAUGCACUUGACCAAAUGCUUGUUAGUGUUGAUGAUAUAACACACUUUUCAUAUUCAUGUAGUCCCUAAAGUACUUUAAUUCCAAGAAUAUAUUGCACCCCUUCUAUAUUUUCAUUUAUUACUAGUUAGACAACUAGAUCUUGAUUAAUGACAAUGUCCAGACAAAAUUUUCAUUGAGUAGAUUGUCAUCUACCUAAAGGAUCUUAGAGCUAUUAGGAUAGAGCUCUUAAAAGAAUAACAUGAUGUAAUACAUUGGAACUCAUUACUUAUUUAAUGAUAUUUGUGUUUCACUUUUAUUUAUCUUUAUUUCAUGCAUUGUACUUUAUGAGAUUCUCGCCUAAUAUCUCUUACAUUCUACAUGACUUAGGUGUAUUAGAAGUUACACGAAUGAUGCAUCCAUGCAUUGUACUUUAUGAGCAUUCUCCUCUAGCAUAUCUUAUAUUGUACAUGACUUAGGUGCAUUAGUAGCUGCACGAAAUAUCCAAUUCAUGGGUUCCUUGCAAGUAGAUGACUUAUUCAUAGUCGAUUCAUGGACUUAGGUCAUGCAUUAGAGGUUGUAACACACUACCUCCUAAUUAGAAAAAUGACUAUUUUUAGCCAUCAAGAUGAGAUUCCCAUGAUGAGUGCACUAGUGUGUAUGGUUACACAUUAGACAUGACCUGUGAUGAGUCAUGACGUAAUGUUAUCAAGUAGUCAUGACUUCACCAAGUUAUUAUGUUGUAUUAUCUCUCAAUCUUGAGAGAAUAUUAAGUUUAUACUAAAAUUAGCAGGGGUUUUGACCUACAAGUGAGAUCCUAAAGUGAUCAUAUAUUCCUUAUAUGUUUGGUCACUAUUAGUAGAAGUUGGUGAUGAUAGGUAUUCUUAAUAAAGGCACCAUGACAUCUCUUAGGAUUAAGAUAGAGUGUUCUCUUGGGUAAUCCUAAGAAGGCUUGUUCAGGUAAACUAUGGUCAUAGUAGUUCCUCAAGUGAAACUUAACAUUAGUUCUGGUGAAUUAAGAUAUGUCAAUUAACUACACUAUAGGAGGAUUUAGAAAUCAAGGAUGAUAGAGGUAAUUGUGAGAGGAUGAUAACUUUCACUUUAUUAUAUUACAAACACUAAUUCAUGGGGAGUCUAUAUACAAUGGAUAGCAAGUCACAGGUUUGACCACUUAAUGUCUCAUUGUAAUAUACAUAUAUAAGGGUAUUGGAGUGAGUUGACUCUCUGUUGUGAAAUGUUGGGUCAACUUCAAAUUUGGAUUAUGAAGGAGUCAGUACUAUCCAAUGGAUCCUAAUGGUCUCCAUUUAAUCUCAUAUACCUUGCUGGCAUGUUUUAUGAGGAUUCAAUCGACUAUAAGUUUAUGCAUAAGGUCAUUUUGGUAAUUAUAUAUAUGAUUACACAAGAAUUAGUAGACAACAUCUAUGGAUUAGGUUAAUUGAUUAAUUGGUGUCCUAUUACAUUAAUUAAUUAAUUAUGACUCUUUUUAGACUAGAUUAAGUGACCCAAGCCCAAGAUGGACUUAAAUCAUUUAAGCCCACUAGAAACCCUAUGAAUACCCCUUAUGGGAUUAGGGUACAUACUCUCUUUCACGUUUUAAAGAAAGUUCUAACCUCUACCUUCAAAGAUUUUCACCAUCUCUAUGCUUAAGCUAAAGAAUGAAUCAUCGAGUGGAAGAUCUUAAUUAGGUCUUCAAGGUCAUCAACACUUGAAAUUUAAGAUCUAGGAACAUUCAAACCUAAAGGUUGAAUUUUUAAUCCUAAAAAUCAAUUUUUUUUAAAAUAAAUUGAUAUUAUUUCUAUUGCAUAGAUCUAAGAUGCCAACAAUUUGUAUUAAAGUGUAUCUUAUAAGCAUGCUCAGAUCUUUAUUUAGGGUGUGCUAACAUUUUUUUUGCAAUCUUGAUAUUAUCCCAUGGCCAAAGGACGCAUGCAUGCUUUUUUUUAUAAUUAUUGUAUGUGAUGAUUGAAUGGGAUAAUUAUUUGUGAUGUAAAGUUAAAUUUUUUAUCAUCUACGAAGGGCUAUAAGAAAAUAAUUUCUCAUUGAUUUCAACAAAGAUUAAUCUUUUAUGGGAACAUCAUUUAUGAAGAAUCAAGGCGAUCAAUGUUUGCAGAAAAGAAAAUCAAUUUUUUUUCUUUGAAUGACUAGAAAAAAAAUGAUGAAAAGAACCACAAACUACUAUGUCCUUAAUCCAUGUUUGUGGUUGUACCAAGGUGCAUCUUGGGGCUAAUUAUUGGUGCCAUAGUGGGUUGCUACUACCACAUAAAUUUGAGUCUCUUUGAAUUGAUUUUGUGGCAAAAAUUUGAUGCACUCAUGAACUAAACAUGGAUGAAUCUAAGUGUUGAACUUUAUUAUAGAAAGUUGUUAUUUUUCUAUAGUUAAAGUUACUAAUUUUCCAUUGAGAAAGUUCCUAUUUUUUUAUGUGGACAAUGGGCAAUUGCAUGGGUUGGUUUUGAUGCCAUUCAUUACCGCCAUACAAGUUGGAUGUAGAUGCAAUUAUGAACUACAAUUUGAGGUUGGUCUUAAGUGCAUUUUAAGGUGGAAAUUGGCAACAUCAUGAGUGUCAUCAUGAACAACUUUGUGCUACCACUACCAACAUGAAAUUGAAAGUUUUCUCUCUCUCUCUCUCUCUCUCUCUUAGAUCCAUGGUAGCAUAGUAACUCUGGCUUUUAACUCAAAAUUUGGGUUACCACCUAUAAGUUUCUUAGGGUAAGCCACAAAUGGUUUUGAAAGUUUAAGAAGUUAGGAAUUCAACAUUUCCAACAGUACUCAAACUGAAAUGGAAAUUAAGAAGGAAAAUAUGACUCAUUGAAGCAAUGUGCAAAAGGCAUGCUAUUUUGGGAUUGAGUUCAAGUCAACUUCUUUUUGGUUGUUUAGGUGCAAUUUUGGGCCUCUUAAGGGUGUCAUCAUGAACAACUUUGUGCUGCCACUACCAACAUGAAAUUGAAAGUUCUCUCUCUCUCUCUCUCUCUCUCUUUCUCUCUCUCUCUCUCUCUCUCUCUCUCUCUCUCUCUCUCUCUCUCUCUCUCUGAUCCAUGGCAGCAUAGUAACUCUGGCUUUUAACUCAAAAUUUAGGUUACCACCUAUAAGUUUCUUAGGGCAAGCCACAAAUGGUUUUGAAAGUUUAAGAAGUUAGGAAUUCAACAUUUCCAACAGUACUCAAACUGAAAUGGAAAUUAAGAAGGGAAAUAUGACUCAUUGAAGCAAUAUUCAAAAGGCAUGCUAUUUUGGGAUUGAGUUCAAGUCAACUUCUUUUUGGUUGUUUAGGCUCAAUUUUGGGCCUUUUAUGGGUGUCAUCAUGAACAACUUUAUGCUGCCACUACCAACAUGAAAUUGAAAGUUCUCUCUCUCUCAGAUCCAUGGUAGCAUAGUAACUCUGGCUUUUAACUCAAAAUUUAGGUUACCACCGAAGUUUCUUAGGGCAAGCCACAAAUGGUUUUGAAAGUUUAAGAAGUUAGGAAUGCAACAUUUCCAACAGUACUCAAGCUAAAAUGAAAAUUAAGAAGGGAAAUAUGACUCAUUGAAGCAAUGUGCAAAAGGCAUGCUAUUUUGGGAUUGAGUUCAAGUCAACUUCUUUUUGGUUGUUUAGGCUCAAUUUUAGGCCUCUUAUUGGGCUCAAUCUUUGUUAGUAGUCUUGGAGGUGAUUUUUGGCAAGUUUUGGUUAUUUGAUUCUAAGAUGAAUCUACCAAAAUUAUUUACUACAUGACCCCUUAACCAUUGGAACUUUUUUUAUUUAUUUCUAUAUAUGUUUUUUAUUUCCUUAUGUAUGUUUGAUUGGAUGUGAAUGUAUGCAAAUAUGGAUGAAUAUAAAUAAUAUGAAACUUUUAGUAAUUUAAUGGAUUUAAAUUUUCUUGCAAGAUGAUAAGUAGUUCAGAGUUGGUUCAUGAAUUUAGGCAAUCAAGUAAAGGUUGUAGUGCACCACCUCCAAAUUAGAAGGAUAACUUGUCUUGGUCAUCGGAAUAGGUUUCCCACGGUGAGUACACUAGUUUAUAUGAUUACACAUUAAAUAUGACCUAUGAUAAAUCAUAACAUAAGGUAUCGAAUUGUCAUGAUUCACCAAGCUAUAUAUUGCAUAGACUUUAAACCUUGAGAUAAUAUUUAGCUUAUGCUGAAAUUAACAGGAAGAUUCGACUUAUAAAUGAAACCCUAAUAUAGUCAUAUAUCUCUACAAAUCGGGUCACUAUUAAUGGAGGUUGAUGGCAACAAGUAUUCUUAAUAAAAGCAACAUAAUUUCUCAUGAGAUUAAGACAGAGUGUUCCUUUGGAUGAUUCAAAAGACAUGUGAUCAUGAAAUCUAUGGUUACAAUAAUUCCUUAAUUGGAAUUUGAAAUAUACUUUUUAUGAGCUAGAGUAUGAGAAUUGAUCACAUAAUAUGAGGAUACAUAACUCAAAGAUUGGAAAGGUAAGGAUUGAUAACACUAUCCUAUUAGAUUAUGGACACCAAUUCACAAAGAGUCCGCAUAUAAUGAAUAAUAGGUCACAAACCUAAGCUUUAACUUCUUGUAAUUUCAUAGGAUACUAGAGUACAAUUGACUCUCUUUAGUGAAGUGUUGAGUUAACUUUAGAAUUAGAUUCUAAUAGAGCCAAUAUUUUCCUAUAGGUCCCAGUGGUCUCUACUCAACAAGCUCCUAGUUCAAGGUGGCAUUCUUUAUUUUAGGGAUUUGGGUUUGUAGUUUAUAAGUGUACAUAAGGGUGUUUUGGUAAAAAAAAAACAAGGUUGUACUAGAUCUUGUGAAUAGUUUUUUCUAGAUUGGUUUAAACUAAUUAAUUAAUUAGAUCCAAUUAAGGAUAAUUAAUUAAUUAGGACCUAAGUGAGAUACAUUAGGUGACCAAAGUCCAAUUUGGGCUCAAGUCACUUAAGUUCAUACGGAGCCUUGUAUAAACCCCCUUAAAGGUUUAGGAUUUUUUUUUUUUUUUUUUUAUCUUCUUCUAAAAAGCCUUUAAAGAAAAACCCUAGCAACCCUCAUGGGAGAAAGGGAAGUCCACCUUUCUCUUAUGCCUAGAUCCAUGAAGGGAGAGAUUGGGUGGAACAUUGUUGGGUAGACAAGGUCUAUGGCAACUAUUACGGUUUUCAACAUCUUCAUUGGGUGGGAUUUGAUAUGGGAACAUCCUAAUCGCAAGUAUGAAACUUUAAUCUCUAAAUCUAAAUCAUAAUAUGGUUUUUUAAACAACAUGUUUCCACUAUGAUAAAUCUAGAAAAUACUAAGAUAGAAUGCAUGCACCUUACAUAAUUUGAGGCCAAGGCAUGGAGUAUUUCGGGUUUCACAAUGGUCUAGUUCAGGAGAUUCUUCCAAUACCUAAAAGUAAUGACUCUAACCAAAGAGUCUAUCACUAUUCUUAUUGAUAGCAUGGUUGUUUUAGCAUAUAGUAAGGAUCCUAAAUAUCAUGGUAGAACCAAAUACAUAGAUAUUUGUUUUCACUAUAUUCGAGACAUUGUUACAUAGAGAGAGGUAGUCUUGAAACAUAUAUAUAUAUAUAUAUUAAAAAAGUCUUUCAAACUCAAGUGAGGAGUUUGGGACUUUGUAAACUUUGAUAUGUAUUUUAUUUUUAAACACCUCUUGAAUUAACAUUUUAUUUAUGGGUAUCUUAUGCAUUUAUUCUUCAUAGAUGUGCAUUCCAUUUUAGUUUAAUUAAUAACACCAACAUACAUUAUUUGAUUGUCACCAAGCUUGGAUUGGUACAUUCACAUGGGCAAUCACUUUAGCGCUUAGAUGGUAAGCAAAAUAAAUUAUAUAUUUGGAACAUCACCUUAGCUAGGUUAAGAUGAGACAUAAAAUUCAAAUAUGAAAUUAUUCCACAAAUCCAUAUAGCUUGAAUGAAUCUAAAUGUGAGAUCUUAAGUAGGAGCUUGAUGAGUGAUUGUGCUAAGAAACUUAAGUAGGUGCUUAAGGAGACAACUAGACUAAGAUUCAUGUGGCAUCAAAGAGUGAUUAACCCACUUUUGUGGAAGCUUCGUUGUAACAUACAUAUCAUACUAUAUGUGUUAUUUGCAACUAUUAGAGAGAAUAGUUAGACUACUCUAACACUGUGUGAGCCCUUAUAGACUACUAUAAAGUUUACUCUAUACCCUUGAACCUAAAAUUAUGUCAUGAAGUAAGGGUAAGAUGUCACUACUUUAACAUGUAAGCUAAGGAUUAUGAUUGAUAUGGUCUAGUAGAAUAUGUUAGGAAAGCGGUCAAACCUACAUGGAUACAUGAGUUGCUAAGAAAGAUUGUUACUAACACACCAUUAUUUAUAGCUCAUAGCCUAGACAAUUAUAUCAACCUUGUAUUCAAUAUAAUUUAAAUACAAAUAUAUAUAUAUAUAUAUAUAUAUAUAUAUAUAUAUAGAUAUAUGUUAGAAUCAAGCAUUUUUUUUUUAAUUGAGAUAUAACUCCUGGAGGGGUUUUUAAAAGUGUUUGAACUAGUGUGAUUGACAAGUCUAUGGUAUAACAAGAUAACAGAUUUUAUCCAAUGUGGAUGAGUGGAAGUUGUUUUUUAUUUUAUUUUUUAUUUUUAAAUUCAUCAUCCACAUGUGGGUUAAGUAAAAAGGGGAUGCAUAAGUAGAUAAGAUUCCAUCAAAUUAAAAAAAUGUUUUAAAUUAAAUUAGUUUGUCUAUAAGUUUGAAAUCCUUAUCCUUCACUAAAAUGUUUGCCUAUAAAUAAUACGAUUAUUAUUGAGUCUAACAAUCUUUUUCCAACAGGUUUGAGCUUCUCUACAUCUCCAUUACUUUCUUCCAAUCAAGUGUUUUAUGAUGUCUAUCUAUACUUAGAAUUUAGAGAGUGAAGUAAUAAAAAAAACUCUUAAUAGUUUCUUUGAAGAAGAAAGUUACUAACCUUGUAAUUCAAGUUACAAAGAUGUUUUGCAGGUAUAUCAACAAUAUCACCAUUUUUAUUCAAUAAAAUACCAAAGUGGAUGAUUGACUCAUUUCAUAGUAGAAAUAAUUACAAGAAUUCCUUUGAUAACACGAAUUUCUAUUUCUCAAUUAUAUCCCACGAUCAAGACAAUUCGUUGAAACCUGUCAAACCAUUUCAUAGAAGUUCAUUGAUAUCUUCUUUUUAUAAAGUAAAUCGACUUCAAUUAUUGAAUAAUCCACAUCAUUUCUAUUUCUAUUGCAACAAAAUAUUCCUUUUUCAUGUAGAAAAGAUCCGUAUCAAUAAUUCUGAUUUUAUGUAUAAACAAUUCCUUAAUAUUUUGUUCAUUUGCAAGACAGUUUUAUUUUAAUCUUACAAUGGUAAAAUUGACUUAGGAUGCUAAAACUAGGAAUAAAAUCAGUUUCGAACCGAUUUCUUCAAGCUAAAUCAGAUUCAGUACAAGGAAUGGUUGCUAGGAACCGUCUCUAUUUUACAAAAAUUGGAAAUUCCGCUCUGGAAAAUCCUAAAAUCGGUUUUGGCCUAAAGUUGGGAGUCGUUUGAAUCGAGUGAAGUUGAUAUGUUUUGGUAUUAUGUGGCAUGUUAAGAUUGGUAAGCGGUAGAUCUGGAUUUGAUUAGUUAGCUUUUAGGCCGCUCCUGGUUCAGUUUUAGGGAACUCCAUUGUCUUGAAAUUAUUUAGACGUGACUCAACAUCAUUCAAAGAAAAGUCAAAUAUGAGAAAAUUUAAGUAACAAUAAGAAAGAAAAUAAAAAAGAAAGUAAACAAAAAAUAAAUAAAUAAACAAACAAAAAAACAUUUCAAAUCAAUAAAAUAUUUUAAAAAAUAAAAAUAAAAGGGAAGAAAAAAUUAAAAAUAAAUUAUGAAAAUUUAAUAAAAAUUAUUUCAAUCUAAUUUCACUUAUUGUGACUCAUCUAUAUAUAAACAUUAAAUAAUUUAAAAAUAUAUAUGUUUUAAAUUAAUUUUAAUUUUAUUUAUUUUUUUCCUGUUUUUCACAAAAAUAAAACCCACAUAAAAAAAUAUAAAAAAUUAAAAAUAAAAUUCUUAAUACUUUUUUCUUUUCUUAUUGCUUUCCUAAGGCAAAACAAAGCAUUAAUUUUUUUUUUUUUUUUAUCUUCCCUUAAUCAUUUUCCAAAACCAAACAUAGCAUAACCUUUAUAUUGAACAAGAAAAAUAAGUAAAAUAAAUUUUAAAAAAUUUAUAAAAAUAAUUUAUUUUUAUUUCCGCCAAUAUUUUAUUUUAUUUCUAAAAACAAACUUUCUCUUCUUUUUUUUUCUUUUAUAUUUUUUCUCUAUUUUCUUUUCAUGACAUUCGAUGGAUUUCCUCCCCGUAAAUUCUCUUUAUAACCUAAAAUUCAGAAAGGAAGAAAUUCGACCUUUGAAUUGGCCAGCAUAAAGCUUCUGAUCAGUCCAACCACUAGUUUGUUAGAAAAAUUUACAUGUUUGCUCUCAUUUGAAUUAGAACCCCAAAAUUAAAAUACAAUCCAAAUCACCAACUUAGUUUCAUAACACCUAAAAAUUAAAAGGUUGUCGUAGGGGUUGAGAUUCUUGCUAGUAAAUCGUGUUUGUGUUAUGUUCAAGUCUAGAUAUUCUACUACAUUGGUCAACCUAAAUCCAAUAUAAAUAAUAAUCACAUCAAAUAUAUAAAUUCAAAUAUUACCUAAUUAUAUGUAACACAUUGUGUAAUUCAUUUAAACCAUUUAAUAUUCAGGUUCUCUUAUUUAAUAAUCAGUUUGGGUUAGAUAUUAUAUAUAUAUAUAUAUAUAUAUGAUUAAUAUCUUAAUCGAACAUAUUUAUGACUCAAUUGACAUAUUUAUUUUUUAUAAUUUGAUUAAUCAAUUGAAUUAUUAAAUAGGUCAAUACAAGUUAAUUCGUAUUAUACAGAUUAACCCAAAAACUAUUUAUUUAUUAAACGGGUUAUAUCAAUUGACACAAAUUUAAUCCAAAUUCAUUUACACUUGACCUAAACUUGUAAAAAGCGUGUUAGAUUUAAAUCAUAUCGACAAACCAUAUCAAAUUUUGUCACUCCUUACCUUAUUAUAGCAAUCCACCAAUGGUAGUUCAAUUUAAAUAGAAUGUGGAAAAAAAAUAUAAAUAAAAAAUAAAAAGAUAAAAAAACAAAAUAAUAAUAAAAAUAAAACAUAGAUUUAAAAAUAAUAAAUUAUUUAUAUAUAUCACUUCAAAUUUAUGGGAGAAUUAUGUUUUGGGGGUAGAUGGACCUCCAAAUUAACAAAAGGUCUAUGUAACUCUUCAAAUUGAGCUCAAGACACAAUGAAAAUAUGAAAAUUGAGUUGAAGGAUAUCAUCCUUUAGUAUUUCCAAAAAUGCCCUUUGUUGAUUUUGAGAAAAAAAUUAAUAUUUUUGAAAAAUACUUUUAUUUAAUUUAAUAUUUUUGAUUUAAUUUAAUAUUUUUAAAAAAUACUUUUAUGUAAUUUAAUAUUUUUUAAAAUAAAUUUAUUUAAUUUAAUAUUUUUUAAAAAUAAAUUUAUUUAAUUUAAUAUUUUAAAAAAAUAUUUAAUUUAAUAUUUUUAAAUACUUUAAUUUAAUUUAAUAUUUUUGAAAAAAACAAUUAAUUUAAUAUUUUUGAAAAAAAAAAUUUAAUUUAAUAUUUUUGAAAAAAAAAUUAUUUAAUUUAAUAUUUUUGAAAACUACUUUUAUUUAAUUUAGUAUUUUUGAAAAAAAAAAUUAUUAAAAAAAAUUAUUUAACUUAAUUUUAUAAAAUAUUUUAUAUGUGUUCUUAAAGGGUAUAUUUGUCCGUUACUAUUUCGUAUCCUUCAACUCAAUUUGAAGAGUUGUAUGGACCUUUUGUUAAUUUGGGAGCCCAUCUACCUCCAAAAGAUAAUUCUCCCCAAAUUUAUUUAACUUAUUUUAACUUUUCCAUAUAAAAAUUAUAUAAUUAAAAAUACAUAAUUCUUUCAUUAAUUUCAAUCAUAUUUGAUUCUGUUUCAAAGUUUUUCCUUUUUCCUAAACAUUUUUUUUCCUUUUCUUACUACUUUCCAUUACCCAAACCAAAUAUAGCCAUGCAGGAAUCCAGAUUUUAAUCAGCCAAGUUACACUAUAACAAGUUAAAAGAUAUUCGAAACAUUCACCAAGCAGGACCAAAUUAUUAUUAUUAUUUAAUUAGGGUUUAAUUCAGGUCUCAAUCUCCAUCCAAAUUCUGCAAAUCCUUACAUUAAAACAACCCAAAUUCACAGCACACCCAUGAUACUGAAGCCAUUGAUUACUGUAACAUAAGUAACUUCGUACUGGAACAGGUACAUAGAUCCAAAACAUUAUUAAGUUGGAGUGCAUGAUAUCCAAGAGCCUCAUAGAUCACCUGAUUUAUACAAGGGAAUAGAUAGAUCUAAAACAUAAGAUCGUUAUUUUGGUCGAAACGAGAGUGUUUUACAUCUUCUUGUGGAUUCCAGGUCCUGAAUGGAGCAUUCCAGGUCCUGAAUGCAGCUGGAGAGUCCUGCUUGGAACAACCUGAAGAACACCAGGUAGUGCUGCCAUAAUAGAAGAAUCAUUAGUGGAUGAGAUAGAAGAAUUAUUGCAAUCAAAAUAUGUAAAACAGUCCCAGGUAAUAUAAUGUGGAUGAGAUCCCCGAAAAAUGUUAACAGAUGAUUUAGAAUCAAGCUUCAACAGUUACAACAAUAUACUGGCAAGGAUCGAAACAACACUUCAUCAUUCACAGCAAUGGGGUCUGUCUGGUACUUCAACCUGUAAACACCCACGUCCCCACCCCAUUCCUUACCGCUUGAGAUACGCCUAAGGCUCGUUUAUUAGGUAAGAUCAUGCACGUCAAAAUAAACUGUACAACCAUUUUGUUUAAAAAGCAUGCUCUUUUUGAAUCAGAUAUCACUUCAACUGAUGGGCCGGACACACAAGUCCUAGGGCGUUGAGUUCAGGCUUGAAUGAUAUUUGGCAGAAAAUUAAGUUAGAGGGCUUCCUGCCAAUUUGUAAUUGCAUGACACCACUAUGGUUCUCUUUUCUUUGGAAAUGUCAUAGCACAGAUUAUGGGCCUAUUUAUGAGCGUUUUCAAAAACUGUUUUGAAAAAAUAGUUUUUAAGAUCAGUUCUUGAAAACAAAUCUAAAUUAUUUUCAGGAACAAAUUUCUAUUUAAAAACUCAACAAUGAAAAAUAG
rnacentral:lncRNA from 1 species